CCAAUAGCGUAUAUUAAGGUUGCUGCGGUUAAAAAGCUCGUAGUUGAAUUUUGGGACUGAUACAUCGGUCGUGCCUUAAGGGGUAUGAACUGGCGUAGCCAAUUCCUCACCUUCUGGUGAAUUGUGAUGCCUCCUUAACCGGGUGUUUCAAUGAACUAGGACUUUUACUUUGAAAAAAUUAGAGUGUUUAAAGCAGGCAUUAUUGCUUGAAUACAUUAGCAUGGAAUAAUAAAAUAGGACGAUGAUUCUAUUUUGUUGGUUUCUAGGAUCACCAUAAUGAUUAAUAGGGACAGUUGGGGACAUUAGUAUUCAAUUGUCAGAGGUGAAAUUCUUGGACUAAUUGAAGACUAACUACUGCGAAAGCAUUUGCCAAGGAUGUUUUCAUUAAUCAAGAACGAAAGUUAGGGGAUCGAAGACGAUUAGGUACGUCGUAGUCCUAACCAUAAACUAUGCCGACUAGGUAUCAGACAACGUUAAAUUUUUAAUGACUCGUUUGGCACCUUAUGGGAAACAAAGUGUUUGGGUUC
rnacentral:rRNA from 1 species